AUGAAGGACGCUGCAUCCAGGAAUUAUGUGCUCGUAGAUUUUAUAGUUCUUGAUAUAGAUUGCAAUCCUUCAUGUCCUAUUAUUCUUGGUAGACCUUUCCUUAGAACGAUUGGUGCAAUUAUUGAUAUGAAGGAAGGGAAUAUUAGAUUCCAAUUUCCCUUAAAGAAGGGCAUGGAACACUUCCCUAGAAAGAAAAUAAAAUUACCAUAUGAAUCUAUCAUGAGAGCCACUUAUGGAUUGCCUACCAAAGAUGGCAAUACCUAG
rnacentral:rRNA from 1 species